UACGGAGGAGGCAAGCGUUAUCCGGAAUUAUUGGGCGUAAAGCGUCCGCAGGUGGCACUUCAAGUCUGUCGUCAAAGACUGGGGCUUAACCCUGGAAAGGCGGUGGAAACUGAAGCGCUAGAGUGCGGUAGGGGUAGAGGGAAUUCCCGGUGUAGCGGUGAAAUGCGUAGAUAUCUGGAGGAAUACCGGUGGCGAAGGCGGCAUCCUGGACCGGCAUUGACGCUGAGGAGCGAAAGCCAGGGGAGCAAACGGG
rnacentral:rRNA from 1 species